UCUACCAAUUGAGAAGUGGAUUGGGAUGUCCUGUUAACACUCAGGAACAUCUUUUAAACCAAACAUCAAACUGCGGGAAAGCCAAAUGGUGAUGCAAGACAUAACAGCAUUUGGACGCAAUGGUAGAAAAAUUCUUAUUAUAAACAAGUAAAUUUUGAAAAAGAAAUGACUUCACAUGACAAUUGUAUGAUGAGGGAUGCCCAGCACAAUUUUAAUUGUCUAAAUAUAGAGU